ensembl:misc_RNA Metazoa_SRP Metazoan signal recognition particle RNA
GCUGGGCAUGGUGGCGCAUGCCUGUAAUCCUAGCUACUCAGGAAGCUGAGGCAGGAGAAUCGCUUGAACCCAGGAAGCAGAGGUUGCAGUGAGCUGAGAUCACGCCACUACACUCCAGCCCGGGUGACAGAGUGAGACUCUGUCUCAG